rnacentral:tRNA from 1 species
GUCUUGAUAGUUUAAAUAAAAACUUUGGUCUUGUAAACCAAGAAUAAAAUGUAUUUUUCAAGGCA